GUGAACAUGGGAAAGAACAGUGACAUGCACAAGUUAGGCAAUCUCCUGCCACUGUACUGCAAUGACCUCAACCAUCAAUAUUGUGCAAGAUAGAGCACGGGUUGCACGUGCUGCAGACCAAAAGGGCAGAAAACCAAGGAAACCAAAUAUUCCCACUGACCUGCUACAGAGUCAGACACAAGAAUGAGACUUGCACAGAGAGGGAGCUGAUUUGUCUUCUGUUUGUUGUCAGUCACGGUCUAGCUGAGCCACAAGUAUUGGGGAACCUUCUACUAGAGCAAGGAAGGCAGUGAAGCUUGAACUAAAGAUCUGAAGCACUUUGCUGUGUCAUCUAUCUUCAUUGUCCCUUCUGGGAGCCACAGAAAUGGUACACACCCCAUCUGGGAACCAAAAACACCUAGCAAGUGCAGCCUGAAUGAGGGCUUGAAAUGCUCUGCCAUUUCAUUUAUCUUCUCCGUCCCUCCUGGCAACCAGAGAAACAGUGGCUGAAGGCACACCCCACCCAGAAACCAGAGACAGCAAGUGCUGUACCCUGAGCAGAAGCCUGAAAGCAAGCCAUUCCAUUCAUCCCCUGCUUCCUGUCUGCAGCACUGUACCUGGCACAGGAGUCACUUAGAAUAUGCAAACUAGGAGGAUGGAACUUCCAGAAAUUCUCACAGAGAAAAUAUAAGGUGACAGAAGCAUACAUCCGAACACCCAAACUGACCUUCUGUGGAUGAGAUAUUCCCCUAACUUUCAUUGAUAUCCCCACUGGUUUUUAAACUCACCCAUGUAAGUUGGAUUAUUUGACCCGAGAUACUCUUUCAGAGUUGAUUGUGUCAGUUAUUAGAGGUUGCCAGUCCUUGGGUCUGGAGUGGUGGGGAGUUGUGAGAAGCCAUUUGGUGACUGUCAACAUCACUAUGUUAUUCCUGUCUAUCCCUAUGUAUUGGAUUGGUUCCAAUUGGACCUUAACCAAAAUUAAACGAAAUAUGUGCUUAGGCUCUUUGGUGUUUCUAAAAUCCACUUUUUUUUUUUUCUCAUGCUUUAUUCCAACCACUAAAUAAACAUUCCUUCUUUUGUGGGAGCUGCUUGUCAGUAUUAGAAGAAAAACAGGUGCCUGAAACCAGUCAGAUCUACAGGAUGAUAGGCAUUAGUACAUACAAGAUAACACUUGCCUCCUAACAAAAAGUAAAAGAAGAGCAAGAUUGCACACAAACACAAGCCUAGGAUCAGACAAGUCAGGAGCCAUAGGUGAUGUCAGUCUUGUAACACUGAAAACAAAAUGUCAGGAUUCUGGUAAAAAAUAAUGGUGAUUCCACUGUCUGCUCUGAAACUUAGAACUCUACAAAAAAAAUUAAAUAAAAUCCUUUUGAGUUUAUUUCCUUUUGAAUACAGUACAUUCUUUGCCCAACAGUAAAGUAGUAAAAUUAUAUUUGCUGACAUUUAGAAGCUUCUUUAUAAAACUUUGACCCUUGGAAGUCAGUGAGAUUUUUAUCACCUGACUUAUGGAAUAAAAAAAUGUUAAAAAAAAAAAAAUCUGUUUCCUUUUACUACAUAAAACUUACCAACAAUUUCCUUCAGUACAUUCCAAGUGCACUCAAGAGCUACCAAGUAAAUAGGAUUUGGAGUAGACCCUGGGCCCUCAGCUUCUCCUGUUUCAUGCAGAAGCAGGAAAAUUUCUUCUGUGACACCAUCUUCAGUUUUCUUGAUGUGUUCCACAUGACAAAUUCUUUGAAUACAGACUGGAAGAUGAACAGCCACUGUUCUCUGGUCCGGACUUAGACACUUUCAAUAGAAAUAAAACAGACUUGUGAUACUUUUGUAAUAUAUUUUUGAUGGUCGACAAGUCUUUUUCCUUGCAAUUCUGCAAAGCUGUUAAUAAGGACAUUCCAUUGGGAACUGGCAGUGUUCCAGCCUUUGUAGUUGUAGAAAAUCCAUAUACAAAAUAAUAUUUGGUAGUUCUGAGGUCUUUUACAGGUAUUACUCUUAAGUCUUUGUCUCAUGUGAACUUUGAACUAGCUCACUCAGGUUAAUUAAAGCAGCCUUUGUAGGUAAAAUUACACCAACAAUUGCAGUACUGUUAUUCAAAUUUUCAAAAAUAUACUUCUUCUCCAGUGUGUGUAUUAUGUUGAAAGCUCAUAAUACUAUGAUGUCAUAUGUAAAGAUAGUAUCUCCUACACUCACUUGGGAUGACCUGUAUAACUAACUCAUAACCAUGCUAUUUGUAAGCAAUGGAAUCAUCCCAUAUUUAUUUUAUGAAAAUCUUUAUACUGUGUAGUAUUUAUGCAUGCCUAUGCUGAUCUGAGAUUGUCUUUGGGGAGUGCAUUACGUGUUAUGUUAUACUGUUUUUAUUAUAAGCAAUACAGGUAGUAAUGCCUACAGUUAAUGUUGCUUGACACUUUCUAGUAUAAGAUAUUUUUAUGUUGUUAUCUAUCUUCACUGAAUUUAAGCCAUUUGGACUACAAUACUUCAGUUUGGAUACAUGCCUCUUGAUGAAUUCUUUAAAGGAAUAUUUUACCUAAAAAGGUUCUGCCUGGGGCUUAUCCCCAGAACAAUAUUCAUGAAAAGUAUGCUCCUCUUUGAAUAGCUUUUGUAGCUUCUCAUUAUUGGGUUGUGCCAACAGUACAGCUUGAUAGAGGCUUAACUCUUUGUGCAAGUACUCACUGGAGUGUCCUCAUAUCUUGUUUGCUUACUUGUUUUCCUUCCUGCUACACAGUGAUCUAAUGGCAAAGAAUAAAAGGUAGAUAUAAGGAACACAGUUCCUUCGAAGUACAGAAGUGAUCGGUUGUUGAAUUUCAUUGAGUCAAGGUGACAUAAAUACACAAACACGGUUGGCAUGUAAUUAGUUUAUUGGUUUGAUUAGACGUGGAUUUGGACCUUUUUUAAAAGAAAAAUUAAUAUAUUGCUGCAACAUAAAAGUUGUUAUUGCCAAAAUAAAAAAUGAAUACUUUGCCUGUGUUAAUUCUUGACCUUCUAGAGAAAAAUCAUUCCUCAUUGUAUUGCUGUAGAAAGACUGAUAGACAUGCAUCCAUGCCCCCCUUCUAAUGCAGUCUUCUUGUGAGGACAGUUAACACAGUCCAAGGUGACAUAGAGGCUUGAUGGCAAAACAAAGUGUUUACCAGUGAAUUACCCUUGUCUAUUGACAGCAAAACUUGAAUAAUGAUACCAAAAGAUCCCCAGCUACCAGCUGCUACUAAUUAACAGAACAAAUCCAGUAGAAUUCAACCUAUCCUAAUAGAGGCAAACUUCUGGAACUAGGCCUUUUGUUCCAUUGACACCAAUCUAAACAACAAGGCUAUUGACUGCAUGCAUGUGCCAGCUUUUGUUAGUGGGGGCUACCUGAAAAGAUGAAAAUUGCAUGAAUCUGCAAUUUCAGAUUCAUUAAUUCUCAGCUGAAAAAACUCCAUCUGUGAACUGACAUGAGAGGAGUGGUCAAGGUGCAUUAAGAUUCCAUGUAAAAGGAUCAUAUUGUCAGUCUAGCCCUAGGAAAUGAAAUAAAUUUUGUUUCCAGUGGCAAUACUAAAUAGGUCUCAAG
rnacentral:lncRNA from 1 species